ACUCCUACGGGAGGCAGCAGUGGGGAAUAUUGCACAAUGGGCGCAAGCCUGAUGCAGCCAUGCCGCGUGUAUGAAGAAGGCCUUCGGGUUGUAAAGUACUUUCAGCAGUGAGGAAGGUGGGUAGUGUUAAUAGCAUAUUCAUUUGUACGUUAGCUGCAGAAGAAGCACCGGCUAACUCCGUGCCAGCAGCCGCGGUAAUACGGAGGGUGCGAGCGUUAAUCGGAAUUACUGGGCGUAAAGCGCAUGCAGGUGGUUUGUUAAGUCAGAUGUGAAAGCCCGGGGCUCAACCUCGGAAUUGCAUUUGAAACUGGCAAACUAGAGUACUGUAGAGGGGGGUAGAAUUUCAGGUGUAGCGGUGAAAUGCGUAGAGAUCUGAAGGAAUACCGGUGGCGAAGGCGGCCCCCUGGACAGAUACUGACACUCAGAUGCGAAAGCGUGGGGAGCAAACAGGAUUAGAUACCCUGGUAGGCUCU
rnacentral:rRNA from 1 species